rnacentral:rRNA from 1 species
UACGGGGGGGGUAAGCGUUGUUCGGAAUUACUGGGCGUAAAGGGCUCGUAGGCGGCCAACUAAGUCAGACGUGAAAUCCCUCAGCUUAACUGGGGAACUGCGUCUGAUACUGGAUGGCUUGGAUUUGGGAGAGGGAUGCGGAAUUCCAGGUGUAGCGGUGAAAUGCGUAGAUAUUCGGAAGAACACCAGUGGCGAAGGCGACUCACUGGACACGUAUUGACGCUGAGGUGCGAAAGCGUGGGGAGCAAACAGG